rnacentral:tRNA from 1 species
AGGCCCGUAGCUCCAAUUGGUAGAGCGGCGGUCUCCAAAACCGUUGGUUGGGGGUUCGAGUCCCUCCGGGCCUGCCA